rnacentral:rRNA from 1 species
AGAGUUUGAUCCUGGCUUAGGAUGAACGCUAGCUACAGGCUUAACACAUGCAAGUCGAGGGGCAGCAUUGGAGUAGCAAUACUCAGAUGGCGACCGGCGCACGGGUGAGUAACACGUAUCCAACCUGCCGCUUACUCGGGGAUAGCCUUUCGAAAGAAAGAUUAAUACCCGAUGGUAUAAAGAGUUCGCAUGUUCUCUUUAUUAAAGAAUUUCGGUAAGCGAUGGGGAUGCGUUCCAUUAGAUAGUUGGCGGGGUAACGGCCCACCAAGUCUACGAUGGAUAGGGGUUCUGAGAGGAAGGUCCCCCACAUUGGAACUGAGACACGGUCCAAACUCCUACGGGAGGCAGCAGUGAGGAAUAUUGGUCAAUGGACGAGAGUCUGAACCAGCCAAAGUAGCGUGAAGGAUGACUGCCCUAUGGGUUGUAAACUUCUUUUAUAAGGGAAUAAAGUGAGGGACGUGUCCCUUUUUGUAUGUACCUUAUGAAUAAGGAUCGGCUAACUCCGUGCCAGCCGCCGC